GUAGGGAAUAUUGGACAAUGGGCGAGAGCCUGAUCCAGCCAUGCCGCGUGCAGGAAGAAGGCCCUCUGGGUUGUAAACUGCUUUUGACAGGGGCCAAAAUGGCUAUGCGUAGCAAAUUGAGAGUACCUGUAGAAUAAGCACCGGCUAACUCCGUGCCAGCAGCCGCGGUAAUACGGAGGGUGCAAGCGUUGUCCGGAUUUAUUGGGUUUAAAGGGUGCGUAGGUGGCCCUAUAAGUCAGUGGUGAAAGUCUGCAGCUUAACUGUAGAACUGCCAUUGAUACUGUAGGGCUUGAGUACUGAUGAGGUAGGCGGAAUUGAUAGUGUAGCGGUGAAAUGCAUAGAUAUUAUCAAGAACACCGAUUGCGAAGGCAGCUUACUAAGGAGUUACUGACACUGAGGCACGAAAGCGUGGGGAUCAAACAGGAUUAGAAACCCGAGUAGUCC
rnacentral:rRNA from 1 species